rnacentral:rRNA from 1 species
AGAGGGAAGUGAAUUUCCGGUGUAGCGGUAAAUGCGUAGAUAUCGGAAGGAACACCAGUGGCGAAGGCGACUUCCUGGGCCAAUACUGACGCUGAGGUGGAAAGCGUGGGGAGCAAACAGGGAUUAGAUACCCUGGUAGUCCACGCCGUAAACGAUGAGAACUAGAUGUCGGGAGGGGUUGCCCUUCGGUGUCGCAGCUAACGCGUUAAGUUCUCCGCCUGGGGAGUACGCCGGCAACGGUAAAACUCAAAGGAAUUGACGGGGACCCGCACAAGCGGUGGAGCAUGUGGUUUAAUUCGAUGCAACGCGAAGAACCUUACCUGCCCUUGACAUCCUCAGAACUUGUUAGAGAUAACUUGGUGCCUUCGGGAAUUGAGUGACAGGUGCUGCAUGGCUGUCGUCAGCUCGUGUCGUGAGAUGUUGGGUUAAGUCCCGCAACGAGCGCAACCCUUGUCCCUAGUUGCCAGCACUUCGGGUGGGAACUCUAGGGAGACUGCCGGUGACAAACCGGAGGAAGGUGGGGGCGACGUCAAGUCAUCAUGGCCCUUAUGGGCAGGGCUACACACGUGCUACAAUGGCGAAUACAGAGGGUUGCCAGCCAGCAAUGGUGAGCCAAUCCCUUAAAGCUCGUCGUAGUCCGGAUCGGAGUCUGCAACUCGACUCCGUGAAGUCGGAAUCGCUAGUAAUCGCGAAUCAGAACGUCGCGGUGAAUACGUUCCCGGGUCUUGUACACACCGCCCGUCACACCAUGGAAGUAGGUUGCACCAGAAGUAGGUAGCUUAACCCUCGGGAGGGCGCUUACCACGGUGUGGCUUAUGACUGGGGUGAAGUCGUAACAAGGUAGCCGU